rnacentral:lncRNA from 1 species
AGCUGUAAAUAUUUCAUCUGCUAUUGUCUCUGGGAUUAGACAACCCUGGGCUGGAUGGGAUGUGGUUGAUUCUUUUGUAGUCCUAAGUCUGGCUGUGUGGCUGAUGCUUAACUCUUCCCUUCUGUCUGUCUGGAGACAGAGCUUCAGUCUGCAUCAUCAACUACCCAGGGAGGAAUUUCAACUUCCACACAGAGACCUUCAUCUCUGAGACCCCAUACAGGUGCGUCUGAGACCCCAGAAAGUACUGCAGGAAAUGUUCAAAGAGAAUGGAAGCCAAGAAUGUUUACCUGAGGUCACCUAGUAUCAAGCCAGGUAAAGAUGUAUGGUUAAGGAAGUAUGCAAAAUUACAUUAUUUUGCCAAAGGAAUCAUGAAGCCAAGCAAUACAGAACUCAUGGUUUUCUAUCAAGAGAACACAGUUCACUCCCUUGCUGAAGAGGGGAAGAGUCAUUCUCUGGAGAUAUCAAUGUCUGUGUUCCCAUCACAGUCAAUGCUCUGCAGAUCCAAGGGAUCUAAUCAAAGACAGGCUCCUCAGUUUAGACUGUGGAGAAAAACCUUCCCCCAGGGUUGGGAUACAGUGUUAACAGAUUACAUUUCUGGAAGGCAAGCAGGUCCAUAGUGAAGAAGUAAUAAAACUGGAUUCACCUCUCUUUUAAUCUGGUGCCUUGGAUACAGAAAAUGCAAGAAAAAUAAAAAAGUUCCACGCAGAGCAAUGUCUCAUAGGGACACGAUGUGCUCAAGGCUGGAGUAACAGGAGGAAGUUUGCCUGAUGAGCAGGUACACAAAGCUGUAAAUUUCUCCCCUGCUACUGUUCCUCAGCACAUGCUACCUUGGGCUUGAUGGGACAUGCUUUCCUUUUGGAGUCCUAAUCUGGCUGCUUAUCAUCUGAUUAAACCUCACAUCUAUCUCCCCUAAACAUUUGAAGCUUUAUAUGUUUAUAUAAUACGAAAUUAUAACCUUAGAUACUGUUUCCUCCCCACAUUUUAAACAUUUUCCUGUGAUAUUCUUCAAUUUCCAAGAGGCGAUUUCACAGUGAAUUAGUGGUGCAUCUUUAUGUCAGUAAAUUAUUACUGUCAUAUUUUUCUAUAAGGAUUUUUCAGACUUUCUUUCUAUGUUGAUUCAUGCAGCUGUUUUGAAAUAACUAUUCUUUUUUAAUUUUAAUUUUUAGUUCUGGGGUACAUGUGCAGGAUGUGCAGGUUUGUUAGGUAGUAAACGUAUGCCAUGAUGGUUUGCUGCACCUAUGAA